CAUCAUCGGGCGCAGCCUGAUGCAGCACGCCGCGUGAGUGAUGAAGGUUUUCGGAUCGUAAAACUCUGUUAUUGGGGAAGAACAAAUGCGUAAGUAACUGUGCGCAUCUUGACGGUACCUAAUCAGAAAGCCACGGCUAACUACGUGCCAGCAGCCGCGGUAAUACGUAGGUGGCAAGCGUUAUCCGGAAUUACUGGGCGUAAAGCGCGCGUAGGCGGUUUCUUAAGUCUGAUGUGAAAGCCCACGGCUCAACCGGGGAGGGUCAUUGGAAACUGGGAAACUUGAGUGCAGAAGAGGAAAGUGGAAUUCCAUGUGUAGCGGUGAAAUGCGCAGAGAUAUGGAGGAACACCAGUGGCGAAGGCGACUCUCUGGUCUGUAACUGACGCUGAUGUGCGAAAGCGUGGGGAUCAAACAGGAUUAGAUACCCUGGUAGUCCACGCCGUAAACGAUGAGUGCUAAGUGUUAGGGGGUUUCCGCCCCUUAUUGCUGAGGUUAACGCAUUAAGCACUCCGCCCUGGGGGAGUACGACCCCAAGGUUUGAAACCUCAAAUGAUUUUGACGGGGG
rnacentral:rRNA from 1 species